rnacentral:rRNA from 1 species
GACGAACGCUGGCGGCGUGCCUAAUACAUGCAAGUAGAACGCUGAAGAGAGGAGCUUGCUCUUCUUGGAUGAGUUGCGCACGGGUGAGUAACGCGUAGGUAACCUGCCUUGUAGCGGGGGAUAACUAUUGGAAACGAUAGCUAAUACCGCAUAACAAUGUAUGACACAUGUCAUUUAUUUGAAAGGGGCAAUUGCUCCACUACAAGAUGGACCUGCGUUGUAUUAGCUAGUAGGUGAGGUAACGGCUCACCUAGGCGACGAUACAUAGCCGACCUGAGAGGGUGAGUAGCCGCCCUGGGACGGUGACAGGGCCCAGAGGCCUUGGGGAGGGAGCAGGAGGGAAACGUCGGGAAUGGGGGCAAAACUGAGCGAGAUACGCCGCGGGAGGAUAGAAGGGUGUCGGGUCGGAAAGCUCGGUUGUAAGGCUAGAACGAGUGUGAGAGUGGAAAGUUCACACUGUGACGGUAGCUUACCAGAAAGCGACGGCUAACUACGUG